rnacentral:rRNA from 1 species
GACGGGGCCGCACAAGCGGAGGAGCAUGUGGUUUAAUUCGAUGAUACGCGAGGAACCUUACCUGGGCUCGAACGUAAGAUGACUGUAGGUGAAAGCUUACAUCUCUUCGGAGCAUUUUACGAGGUGCUGCAUGGUUGUCGUCAGCUCGUGCCGUGAGGUGUCGGGUUAAGUCCCAUAACGAGCGCAACCCCUACCUUUAGUUGCCAUCAGGUUAAGCUGGGGACUCUAAAGGAACUGCCUACGCAAGUAGUGAGGAAGGCGGGGAUGACGUCAAAUCAGCACGGCCCUUACGUCCAGGGCUACACACGUGCUACAAUGGCCGAUACAGAGGGCAGCUACCUGGUGACAGGAUGCAAAUCUCCAAAGUCGGUCUCAGUUCGGAUCGGAGUCUGCAACCCGACUCCGUGAAGUUGGAUUCGCUAGUAAUCGCGCAUCAGCCAUGGCGCGGUGAAUACGUUCCCGGGCCUU